rnacentral:rRNA from 1 species
UACGUAGGCAGCAAACGUUGUUCGGAAUUACUGGGCGUAAAGAGUGUGUAGGCGGUUUCGUAAGUUUUGGUGUGAAAUCUCCCGGCUUAACUGGGAGGGUGCGCCGAAAAACUGCGAGGCUUGAGUACUGGAGAGGAGAGCGGAAUUCCUGGUGUAGCGGUGAAAUGCGUAGAUAUCAGGAGGAACACCGGUGGCGAAGGCGGCAUCCUGGACCGACACUGACGUGAGGAGCGAAAGCCAGGGGGAGCAAACGGGG